AGAGUGCCGGAUUGUGAGCCGCGGGAGCAGAGGUCCAUGCAAACACGCGCGGCACAUCGCAAGCAAGCUUCACGGGUCGGAGAUGCUACGUAUCGAUCGGUAAGUGUGUCGCUGUGGCGAUGGAUCCACUGACCCUGCAGCACUACCUUCGAUCUCGACUGUUCCGUUGCCCUGGAUCAUCGCACUCUACUCAUAUAUUCACUCUAGAUUCUAUCAAAAUGGAAACAGUCGACACUAGCACUGUGUGCGAUUUCUAGUCACAUUCGGAGUCGUCGCCGCAGUCGCACUCACGAAGCCGAUCUCGCGGCUGGCGUUCGGAUCGCAGUGAUCAGGUUGUUGGAGAUCUAGACUUGGAUCAGAAAUGCCGCGAUGAGCGAAGCUACCGCCGCGGCAGCCGCGAUGGAACGGUGAGAAAUCGACAAGGCCGUGGCG
rnacentral:lncRNA from 1 species